AAAACGAACAUAUUUUUCUAACAACAAAAGAAACAAAUAGAGAAACAAGACAGGCAACAUAAAGAAUAUUCCCUUCAUCAGUUGUCCCCUGUUCUAUCUACUCUGCAUUUUGAAUCUGAUCUGGCAGUGUUUCUACAGCUGGAUGCCCUUCCUAAC